GUCAGUGUAGUUUAGUGGUAGAAUACGUGUCAAUUUGUCCGACACGAGACUCAGGUUCGAUCCCUGGCGCUGGCC